rnacentral:tRNA from 1 species
GCCCUUAUAGUUUAAUGGAUAGAACACAAGCUUGCGGAGCUUGCGAUCCAAGUUCGAUUCUUGGUAAGGGCA